rnacentral:rRNA from 1 species
ACUCCUACGGGAGGCAGCAGUGGGGAAUAUUGCACAAUGGGCGAAAGCCUGAUGCAGCGACGCCGCGUGAGGGAUGACGGCCUUCGGGUUGUAAACCUCUUUCAGCAGGGACGAAGCGCAAGUGACGGUACCUGCAGAAGAAGCACCGGCUAACUACGUGCCAGCAGCCGCGGUAAUACGGAGGGUGCAAGCGU